UCAACUAGGUAAAUAAAUAUGGUAAUGAAUUAGUCUUAUAAAAAUAAGGAAUGGGAAUAACUCUAAGAUCAAUCAAAGUUGGAGUUAAAUCUAUUAGCAACAUAUAAUCAGGCAAGUACUACUUAAAUUAGGGAAAGCAUUAUACAUAGUAAAUCAGUAGUCAAGUACCAGAACAAAUAAGAUAAGAAAAUUAUGAGAACAUGCAAACCGAACAAAAUAAGAAAAAAUCAGUUUUCGUACAGGAAAGGUUGGAAUCGUAGCAAAGAUUUCCAAACCCUAAUUUGCGGUAAGUAAAAAAAUUAAUCAGCAAUUAACACCAAAGUUAAGGAAAAAUAGAUAGAAACAUUAAGAGAAAUAAAUAAAUAAUCGAAACC
rnacentral:lncRNA from 1 species